rnacentral:rRNA from 1 species
GACGAACGCUGGCGGCGUGCUUAACACAUGCAAGUCGAACGCUGAAGACCUGGCUUUUGUUGGGUUGGAUGAGUGGCGAACGGGUGAGUAACACGUGAGUAACCUGCCCUCUUCUUUGGGAUAACGCCCGGAAACGGGUGCUAAUACUGGAUAUUCACUGCUCUUCGCAUGGGGGUUGGUGGAAAGGUUUGUUCUGGUGGGGGAUGGGCUCGCGGCCUAUCAGCUUGUUGGUGGGGUGAUGGCCUACCAAGGCUUGGACGGGUAGCCGGCCUGAGAGGGUGACCGGUCACAUUGGGACUGAGAUACGGGCCAGACUCCUACGGGAGGCAGCAGUGGGGAAUAUUGCACAAUGGGCGAAAGCCUGAUGCAGCGACGCCGCGUGAGGGAUGGAGGCCUUCGGGUUGUAAACCUCUUUCGCUCAUGGUCAAGCCGCAACUGUGGGUUGUGGUGAGGGUAGUGGGUAAAGAAGCGCCGGCUAACUACGUG